AGACCGUUCCACGUAGAGCAUAACUGAAAUAAACUCUUCUUAGUCUUUGCAUCCACCUAAAACAAUCAGACAAUUGUAGGGCUUGUUAAGGGAAUAGAAAACAACUUCUUGAUGUUUUCUGUCGAACUAAAGAUUUCAUCUAUUUCCUGUCUCUAGGAACAUUUGCCAUUUUAACACCUUGAAUUAGCUCUACAGAAUUUGUAAGCAGUGCAGGUCAUACAUCUAUACCCAUGCACUGAGGAACAGAAGCUCGAAUGUGGAAUUGUUGUUUCAAGGCUAUCUGAAGAUUUUAUUGCACAUUACCAUUCUCUGAAAACGUUCUUUCAACUAUUUCCCUAUCAAAAGUCUCAUUUACUUGCCCAAUUUCUGUGG